rnacentral:tRNA from 1 species
UAUGGCAGAUUAGUGCGUUGGAUUUAAAUUCCUCUCAUAAAGAAAUUCACUCUUUUAUUAAAA